AGUCCACUUAAUUUAAAUAACAUGAGGAGCGUCUGUUGAACAACUACAUAAGACAAUGCUAAGAUAUAUAUCAAGGUACAUUCUCUGACGCCUGUUCAGUGAUACUAAGUAUCAAACAACGGGGGUUCCCUUAAAGUAGGAAUUAAUUGUCUAAAUAACAAUUAUGUGAAUGGCGUAACGACUUCUCUAUUGUCUCCACUAAAUCCUUUAUGAAAUAGUCGUAGAUUUGAAUAGAAAUCUUGGUAUACUGUGACGGAGAGACCCCGUGCACCUUUACUUCUCUUAAAUAAGUUUUGCAA
rnacentral:rRNA from 1 species